GGGGAAUAUUGGGGCAAUGGUCGAGAGACUGACCCAGCCAUGCCGCGUGCAGGAUGAAGGCCUUAUGGGUUGUAAACUGCUUUUGAUCGGGAACAAUGAGGCCAUGCGUGGCAAGAUGAGUGUACCGAUAGAAUAAGCACCGGCUAACUCCGUGCCAGCAGCCGCGGUAAUACGGAGGGUGCAAGCGUUGUCCGGAUUUAUUGGGUUUAAAGGGUGCGUAGGCGGCUGAUUAAGUCAGUGGUGAAAGGCAGCAGCUCAACUGUUAGCACGGCCAUUGAUACUGGUUAGCUUGAGUACAGUCGAGGUAGGCGGAAUUGAAGGUGUAGCGGUGAAAUGCAUAGAUAUCUUCAAGAACACCUAUUGCGAAGGCAGCUUACUAGGCUGUAACUGACGCUGAUGCACGAAAGCGUGGGGAUCGAACAGGAUUAGAUACCCUGGUAGUCCACGCCGUAAACGAUGAUCACUCGCUGUUGGCGAUAUACAGUCAGCGGCUAAGCGAAAGCAAUAAGUGAUCCACCUGGGGAGUACGACCGCAAGGUUG
rnacentral:rRNA from 1 species